GCUUUAUUGGUUAUUUUAAUAGUUAUUUGUGAUGUAACCGGGGAUACUUUAGUUUAUAGAGCU
rnacentral:tRNA from 1 species